AGCGAACGCUGGCGGCAGGCCUAACACAUGCAAGUCGAACGGAUCCUUCGGGAUUAGUGGCGGACGGGUGAGUAACACGUGGGAACGUGCCCUUUGGUUCGAAACAACUCAGGGAAACUUGAGCUAAUACCGGAUGUGCCCUUCGGGGAAAGAUUUAUCGCCAUUGGAGCGGCCCGCGUCUGAUUAGCUAGUUGGUGAGGUAAAGGCUCACCAAGGCGACGAUCAGUAGCUGGUCUGAGAGGAUGGUCAGCCACAUUGGGACUGAGACACGGCCCAAACUCCUACGGGAGGCAGCAGUGGGGAAUCUUGCGCAAUGGGCGAAAGCCUGACGCAGCCAUGCCGCGUGAAUGAUGAAGGUCUUAGGAUUGUAAAAUUCUUUCACCGGGGACGAUAAUGACGGUACCCGGAGAAGAAGCCCCGGCUAACUUCGUGCCAGCAGCCGCCGUAACAC
rnacentral:rRNA from 1 species